GACCUGCGGAGGGAUCAUUACACAAAUAUGAAGGCGGGCUGGAACCUCUCGGGGUUACAGCCUUGCUGAAUUAUUCACCCUUGUCUUUUGCGUACUUCUUGUUUCCUUGGUGGGUUCGCCCACCACUAGGACAAACAUAAACCUUUUGUAAUUGCAAUCAGCGUCAGUAACAAAUUAAUAAUUACAACUUUCAACAACGGAUCUCUUGGUUCUGGCAUCGAUGAAGAACGCAGCGAAAUGCGAUAAGUAGUGUGAAUUGCAGAAUUCAGUGAAUCAUCGAAUCUUUGAACGCACAUUGCGCCCUUUGGUAUUCCAAAGGGCAUGCCUGUUCGAGCGUCAUUUGUACCCUCAAGCUUUGCUUGGUGUUGGGCGUCUUGUCUCUAGCUUUGCUGGAGACUCGCCUUAAAGUAAUUGGCAGCCGGCCUACUGGUUUCGGAGCGCAGCACAAGUCGCACUCUCUAUCAGCAAAGGUCUAGCAUCCAUUAAGCCUUUUUUUCAACUUUUGACCUCGGAUCAGGUAGGGAUACCCGCUGAACUUAAGCAUAU
rnacentral:rRNA from 1 species